UACGAAGGGGGCUAGCGUUGUUCGGAAUUACUGGGCGUAAAGAGCGCGCAGGCGGCUAUCCAAGUCAGUGGUGAAAGCCCGGAGCUCAACUCCGGAACUGCCAUUGAAACUGUUUAGCUUGAGGAUGAAAGAGGUGAGUGGAAUUCCCAGUGUAGAGGUGAAAUUCGUAGAUAUUGGGAAGAACACCGGUGGCGAAGGCGGCUCACUGGCUCAGUACUGACGCUCAGGCGCGAUAGCGUGGGGAGCAAACAGG
rnacentral:rRNA from 1 species